rnacentral:misc_RNA from 1 species
UCCGGUUUGUCACCGGCAGUCUCCCAUGAGUCCCCGACAUUACUCGCUGGCAACAUGGGACAGGGGUUGCGCUCGUUGCGGGACUUAACCCAACAUCUCACGGCACGAGCUGACGACAGCCAUGCAGCACCUGUGUACGCUCCCUUGCGGGUCCUUCACCUUUCGGAUCCGUACCACGUACAUGUCAAACCCAGGUAAGGUUCUUCGCGUCGCUUCGAAUUAAGCAACAUGCUCCGCCGCUUGUGCAGGCCCCCGUCAAUUUCUUUGAGUUUUAACCUUGCGGCCGUACUCCCCAGGCGGAUGACUUAACGCGUUAGCUGCGCCACCGAAACGCUAAGCGCUCCGACAGCUAGUCAUCAUCGUUUACGGCGUGGACUAC